rfam:Actinomyces graevenitzii C83 genomic scaffold supercont1.3, whole genome shotgun sequence.
UCCGCCCUAGUGUAAUGGCAGCACGCAGGCCUUUGGUGCCUUGUGGUCCGGGUUCGAAUCCUGGGGGCGGAG